AGAGGAGCCAUGACUAUUUAAAGAGAUAUGAUACUGCUUUCAAUGUAUAGUGCAGAAUGGAGUCUCAAUUCCUUGCAAAAGUCCUGCCCUGCAAGCUUCCAUCACCUGCAGUUGAGAAUGAGGUAGUAACUGUUAGAACUGUUUGGGCUUUAUAACUGGGACCCAUAUGGAAUCGGACUUGGCCUUGGAAAAUGUAAAUUCAUGUCAGCAUAAUCCUUUGUGUCUAAUAUCUUAUGUAACCUCUCAAAUAAUGGCACUGAGCCAGCAGGCAGCAGAACAGGAUAGACUUGUCCUAUGGGGGAUGCUGCCAUAGGAUUGUGGGUGCAAGCUAGUUUGCAUCCUCUCCCAACUGUGCCUGUCAGGGUGGCUUAUGAGCGAAACAUGAAGCAACACUGUUGAUCGCGAUAACAUCUAUUUUAGCCAAAGGGCUUUUGCCAAUAACAGAUUAGAGAUGAAAGCUGUAUUUUGGGCACUCAGUUAUUGGAAAACGUGUACUGUGCUUCAAACACUAGGCUAUGUAACAAGAUAAAGAUCUGAACAGUGAAGACAGUAGCACGAUUCCUUUUCCAAAUCUAGAUAAGAAAGUAGCACAGUUCCUGCUCUACAUAGAACCCAAAUGUUGUUAUGAGUUUGGGGUCAUAGGCUGUAUGCAGAGACCCCUCUAAUCCUGGAGCCAGCGAGUGUUAAAAGCGAACCAAGCCUUCUAAUUCUGGGAAAUUGUCCAGCUAUCUUCCCAGUGUGAGACAUCAAAUGGGUGGGCCCCGCUCCGUCAAUGGACAAAGCCAGGUUUUGGAGUAGAGGUGGCAGUGAUGUGAGCUAAAACUCAAGCAGCAAGUUGGAGAGGGAGUCAGUUUGAGAGCAACGUGUGAUUGAAUUCAAGGCUGCCGCUGUGGGAGAAACAAUACCCUUUGUGGGUGCUGAUGCUGUGAGCAGGGCCUUGCAGAGCCAGGCAGAGGCCCGGGCCAGGUAAAUAAUGUGCCCCCUCUUUUUUUACCCUGGGGAUAACUGAAGUCUUAUAAAUAAGUAAGUAUAUAAAUAAUUUUCACAAAAGUUAUGCUGACAAAUAAUUUUAUUUCAAGGUUUGAACUGUAUCUGCAUAUAAAGACAAAAUGGAAAAUAUAGAUAAAUAUGCUGACCGAGGCCCCCUUUGGAAUCAGAGGCCCGGGCCAAGUGGUCCAUAUGGCCCCCCCUCUGUCUGGGCCUGGCUGUGAGCCCCUCCAUCGUAGCCUCGGUUUGUAGAUAUGUGUAAAUAAACCAUAUGUCAUAAAGACACUACAGUCUCCGCUGUGCCACAUUUCCAAAAGGAAACACAAACCCUGAAUAAGUGCCUGCACCCCCUGGAAUCUUGCACCAUUUAGAGAUUGGGAUGGGGUGCAACAAUAUAUAUGGGGGAUGGACUGGGAAAAUAUCAACAGAAACUUUCAUUUUGAUUUUUAAAAGAAGCAUAGCAUUUAUAUCAGGACCCAGUUUGGCCACUGUGAGAUGGGCCAGCAGGACUCCUCUUACAGGUUUACAAGGCUGGCUAGCACUUUUAGCAGUUUUACAUGGUUCAGGCUUUAAUACUGUAGAAGGAAGGGCUUAAGAAGAGAACAGGGAGGAACAGAGACAAGCUUUGGCCAGCCAUACAGAGCUUUGAUUUGGUUACUAUUUUCAUGCUUCUUUUGUGAAAACUAGGAAUGGGUGAAGACAACUCCCCACUUUGAAACUUUCUUCCUGGGGAGGGUGAGGGGAGAAUUCAGGGACAUUUGGGUUGGGGUAUGGAUAUCUGGUUACUUUGGAUAAGGGGGAUAGUUGUGGUGCUUGGUUACAAUUAAGAGGUAAUGAGGCUUCCUUCCUUCUAUAAAAGAAGUCAUGGUUUGGCUGCUGUACUUGGUGCAAAGAUUUGCUGAUUCCUUUGAAAAUAUUUCAAGGAAUGACCCCUGGAAGAGGGGCGUGUCAACUUUUUCAACUUUCAAAUUCCAAAAAUGAGGGGUGCCAAAAAGUUGUAACAUGACUUGGGAAUUCAAAAGGUAUUUUGCUUAAAUUACUGUAUCUGCUCGAGUAUAAGCUGACUUUUUCAGCACAUUUUUUAUGCUAAAAAAGCCCCCGUCGGCUUAUACUCAAGUGAGGGUCCUUUCGGGCUGCUUCUUCCUCUUCCUCCAUCUUUGCCGCUGUCAGCGGUAGCGGAGGAGGAAGGAGCAACCCAAAAGCAGCCCUUUUGGGCUGCUUGUUCUUCCUCCGCCACUGCCGCUGCCACCAGGUUUGUGGUGUGGUGAACCGGCUUAUACUUGAGUCAAUAAGUUUUCCCAGUUUUUUUGUGGUAAAAUUAGGUGCCUUGGCUUAUAUUCGGAUCGCCUUAUACUCGAGUAUAUACGGUAAUAUAAUUAAUAGUUUUGCUUGGUAGGCAAAAUGUUUGCAAAAUUGCAUAGAAAUAAUUUAAAACGAUUGCCAGGUACUUGCAGUUAUAUUAUUAUUAUUUAUUAUUAUUUAGCAUUACCUGACAUUUUCAUUAUUAUUAUUUUUGCUUUCCAAAAACAAUUUAGGUGCUUCUACGUCAAAUGUAGACUUUCUAAACUAAAUGUUGUCCAAUCACAAAAAAACCAACAAUAGCAGAUCUGAAUGCCUCACACCCAAAAACAUAAGACCGCUCACUGAAGAAAUUUGCCAAAAUUAUGUUUCGUUCCCUGGAAUGACACCAACCCUGGAAGAUCAUUUUCAAAGGGAUAGGCUGAUGUGAUCAGCAGUUUAGCUGACUAUCUGGGCUAUGGCUUUACAAAAACAAAUAAAGCAAAUCUCUGGCCAUGUUGUAAACAACGAGCAUAAUGUCAGGAAUGAGCCAGCUCCAAGCAAAAGUUUGCAGCUAACUGCAGAAAACAGCCAGGAACAGAGAGGCUGCUUUGAUGUUAGUCAGACAGAGGAAAGCCGGCAGCUGCAUACUCCAGCUUCUCCUGACCUUGACGUGCAACCUUAUAAGACAGGAACGGAGAGCAGGCUAAAAUGCAGCCAAAGCUCGCUGGAAGCACAGACAUGUGGGAAAGAGUUAAGAGACAGUCUCUCAGAGAAUGGGGAAGAGGCGGGAACUGACCCACUCAGUCUGAGGACUCGGAGAAUGGGAGGGUUGCAAGAUAGGAAGCAAAACAAAAGACGUAAGACACAAAAGUUCAGUUGCUUCCGGUCACGCCGGAAGCAGUCUUCAGAAGGGACAUAUUGAAUAAUGGUGCUGGAGGCUUUGUUAGAGCCGUUCGGAGCUAUCUGUUUCUUUUUGCAAUAAAUCCUCCUUUUUAAUUAGCUACGCUUACUGUGUGGCGCUGUGGGUUAAACCACAGAGCCUAGGACUUGCCGAUCAGAAGGUCGGCAGUUCGAAUCCCUGCAACGGGGUGAGCUCCCAUUGCUCAGUCCCUGCUCCUGCC